GUCCUAAUGAUGUAAUGGAUAGCAUUUGGGCCUUCUAAGCCCACCGUCUGGGUUCGAUCCCCAGUUAGGACU